rnacentral:rRNA from 1 species
AGUGAACGCUGGCGGUAGGCCUAACACAUGCAAGUCGAACGGCAGCACAGUAAGAGCUUGCUCUUACGGGUGGCGAGUGGCGGACGGGUGAGGAAUACAUCGGAAUCUACUUUUUCGUGGGGGAUAACGUAGGGAAACUUACGCUAAUACCGCAUACGACCUACGGGUGAAAGCAGGGGAUCUUCGGACCUUGCGCGAUUGAAUGAGCCGAUGUCGGAUUAGCUAGUUGGCGGGGUAAAGGCCACCAAGGCGACGAUCCGUAGCUGGUCUGAGAGGAUGAUCGGCCACACUGGAACUGAGACACGGUCCAGACUCCUACGGGAGGCAGCAGUGGGGAAUAUUGGACAAUGGGCGCAAGCCUGAUCCAGCCAUACCGCGUGGGUGAAGAAGGCCUUCGGGUUGUAAAGCCCUUUUGUUGGGAAAGAAAAGCAGCAGGUUAAUACCCCGCUGUUCUGACGGUACCCAAAGAAUAAGCACCGGCUAACUUCGUG